AUUUAAGUAGUUUAAAUAAAAUAUUGAUUUGUGGAGUCAAUGAUGUAUAAAAGUAUGUAUACCUUAGAUA
rnacentral:tRNA from 1 species